rnacentral:misc_RNA from 1 species
GAUGAAGAACGUAGCGAAAUGCGAUAAGUAAUGUGAAUUGCAGAAUUCAGUGAAUCAUCGAAUCUUUGAACGCAUCUUGCGCUCCUUGGUAUUCCUUGGAGCAUGCCUGUUUGAGUAUCAUGAGCAAACCUCAAAGUCAAUUCCUUUUGUUAAUUCAAUUGGUUUUGCUUUGGACUUGGAGGUCUUGCAGAUUUCACAGUCUGCUCCUCUUAAAUGCAUUAGCUGGAUCUCAGUAAUUAUGCUUGGUUCCACUCGGCGUGAUAAGUAUCACUCGCUGAGGACACUGUUAAAAAGGUGGCCAGGAAAAUACUGAUUGAACCGCUUCUAACGGUCUAUUAAGUUAGACAAUUACACUUAAGUUUGAUCUCAAAUCAGGUAGGACUACCCGCUGAACUUAAGCAUAUCAAUAAGCGGAGGA